UGGCUUUCACUCGCAUUUCUUCUCCGAGUCUCAAAUUUCAAAGGACUCGUCUUCUUUCUCUGUGGGGUUCGAAGUAGCCGUCGCAGAUCCUUUCUCUCGCCGGCGACUCUUCACCCGCGGGGCCGUCAGAUCUUGCGGAUCUCUUCUUGCUGCAGCUAUAUUGUCGCCGAAUUCGGCAGUUUUCCCUUUUCUUAGACUCAGCGAAAGCGGAAGAGGAGGAUGGAGAAUCUGAUCUCUCUGGUGAACAAGAUACAGAGAGCGUGCACGGCUCUCGGUGAUCAUGGAGAGUCCAGUGCGUUACCGACUCUCUGGGACUCCUUGCCGGCGAUCGCUGUCGUUGGUGGACAGAGUUCAGGAAAGUCUUCAGUCCUGGAGAGUGUUGUUGGAAAGGAUUUUUUACCUCGUGGAUCCGGUAUUGUUACAAGAAGACCCCUUGUCUUGCAGUUGCAUAAGAUCGGUGAUGGAACCCGGGAGUAUGCAGAGUUUCUUCACCUUCCGAGGAAAAGGUUCACCGAUUUUGCUGCUGUGAGGAAGGAGAUUCAGGACGAGACUGACAGAGAGACUGGCCGCACCAAGCAGAUUUCCAGCGUUCCAAUUCACCUUAGCAUAUAUUCUCCCAAUGUUGUCAACUUGACAUUGAUUGAUCUUCCCGGGCUUACAAAAGUUGCUGUAGAGGGGCAACCAGACAGUAUCGUGCAGGACAUUGAGAACAUGGUCCGAUCCUUCAUUGAAAAGCCCAAUUGCAUUAUUUUGGCAAUUUCACCUGCCAAUCAAGAUCUUGCUACAUCAGAUGCAAUUAAAAUUUCUCGUGAGGUUGAUCCAUCUGGGGAGAGAACAUUUGGUGUUUUGACAAAGAUAGAUCUUAUGGACAAGGGGACUGAUGCAGUGGAUAUUCUGGAGGGGAAAUCUUACAAACUCAAGUUUCCGUGGGUUGGUGUUGUCAAUCGUUCCCAAGCAGAUAUUAACAAGAAUGUUGAUAUGAUUGCUGCGCGGAGGAGAGAGCGGGAGUAUUUUUCCAAUACUCCGGAGUAUAGGCACAUGACUCACAGAAUGGGUUCCGAGCAUUUGGCGAAAAUGCUCUCCAAGCAUCUAGAACAAGUGAUCAAGUCAAGAAUUCCAGGCAUCCAGUCACUUAUCCAAAAAACAAUCUUGGAGCUGGAAACUGAAUUGAGUCGCCUGGGGAAGCCCAUUGCAGCCGAUGCAGGAGGAAAGUUGCACUCUAUCAUGGAGAUUUGUCGGCUUUUUGAUCAAAUAUUCAAGGACCAUCUUGAUGGGGUGCGGCCUGGUGGAGAAAAGGUGUACAGUGUGUUUGAUAACCACCUUCCGGCAGCACUAAAGAGACUCCAGUUCGACAAGCAACUCUCAAUGGACAAUAUUCGGAAGCUUGUAACAGAGGCUGAUGGUUACCAGCCUCACUUGGUUGCUCCAGAGCAAGGUUACCGCCGUCUCAUUGAGUCCUCCCUCAUCACCAUCCGUGGCCCUGCCGAAGCAUCUGUUGACGCUGUUCACUCGAUUUUGAAGGAUCUGGUUCACAAGUCUGUCAGUGAAACCGUGGAAUUGAAGCAAUACCCGGCUCUUAGAGUUGAGGUAACGAAUGCGGCCAUAGGGUCACUCGACAGAAUGAGAGAAGGGAGUAGGAAAGCGACGCUGCAGCUGGUGGACAUGGAGACAAGUUACCUCACCGUUGAUUUCUUCCGGAAGCUUCCUCAGGAUGUAGAGAAGGGCGGUAACCCAACCCACUCUAUUUUCGACAGAUACAACGAUUCUUAUCUCAGACGCAUUGGUAAAACUCUUUUAUCAUCAAGAAUCAGCGAUUAUCUCCAUAUUCCGACUAGGAUCGAACGUGUUGUCGUACGUGAACAUGGUCUGCGCAAGUCUGCGUAACUCGAUCCCAAAGUCCAUCGUAUACUGCCAAGUGCGAGAAGCAAAACGAAGCCUCCUCGACCAUUUCUUCACGGAGCUCGGCACCAUGGACAAGAAGAGACUGUCAGCGUUGUUGAACGAAGACCCGGCGGUAAUGGAGAGACGCAGCGCAAUCUCGAAACGGCUGGAGUUAUACAGGGCCGCUCAGUCCGAGAUCGAUGCCGUCGCUUGGUCCAAGUGACGUGCCUCCUCUAACCGACCGGUUCACUUCGGUUUAAUGUAUUUUGUAUGAGUUUGGUUUUGGAAGAAGACGACACCUACCUCUCCCGUGUCGUCUCCUACAUUACUAUAAAUACUAUGAUUUUUUUAUUUAAUAUUAUUAUAGACUCUAGCA